rnacentral:rRNA from 1 species
CGCUGGCGGCAUGCCUAACACAUGCAAGUCGAACGGUAACAGGUCUUCGGAUGCUGACGAGUGGCGCACGGGUGAGUAACGCGUGGAUAUCUGCCUAUGAGUGGGGGACAACUUUCGGAAACGAAAGCUAAUACCGCAUAAUCUCUACGGAGCAAAGCAGGGGACCUUUCGGGGCCUUGUGCUUAUAGAUGAGUCCGCGUCAGAUUAGCUAGUUGGUGGGGUAAGAGCCUACCAAGGCGAUGAUCUGUAGCUGGUUUGAGAGGAUGAUCAGUCACACUGGAACUGAGACACGGUCCAGACUCCUACGGGAGGCAGCAGUGGGGAAUUUUGCACAAUGGGGGAAACCCUGAUGCAGCGAUGCCGCGUGUGGGAAGAAGGCCUUUGGGUUGUAAACCACUUUCAAUUGGGAAGAAGGGAUGAGUAUUAAUAAUACUCUGACUUGACGGUACCUUUAGAAGAAGCACCGGCUAAUUUCGUGCCAGCAGCCGCGGUAAUACGAAAGGUGCAAGCGUUGUUCGGAUUUACUGGGCGUAAAGAGAUCGUAGGUGGUUUGUUAAGUUAGAUGUGAAAUCCCGGGGCUCAACCUCGGAACUGCAUCUAAAACUGGCAGACUUGAGUUCGGGAGGGGUAAGCGGAAUUCCGUGUGUAGCAGUGAAAUGCGUAGAUAUACGGAGGAACACCUGAGGCGAASGCGGCUUACUGGACCGAUACUGACACUGAGGAUCGAAAGCGUGGGUAGCAAACAGGAUUAGAUACCCUGGUAGUCCACGCCCUAAACGAUGUCAACUAGCCGUUGCGGGUAUCGACCCCUGCAGUGGCGCAGCUAACGCGAUAAGUUGACCGCCUGGGG